CAUCUGUUGUGUUCGUGUUUGAUUUUCAUCCCUGAGCCGAUUAAAGACAGAACAGGAGAUGAGAUUGGAUGCUAUUGUGCAAGCCCGCCUUGAAGUGGGAAGCCUGCGGCAAACAUCGAACUUCCGCCUUGAGCCGAAAGGCCCAGGUCUUAAUCAACACGGCACAAUGGAC
rnacentral:other from 1 species